AAUAAAUAAAUACAUAAAUAAGAAAACGUAUACGGAGUGCAAGCUUCUGUCAAGGCUGUCACCAAAAACGCACACGUCCAGAGCGACAACCCGCUAACGCGAGAAAAUGUCACGUCACUGUCAUCAAAUAAGAGUUACGACGACAUAUUUUGUACAAAAAAUUGUUGUAUUUUUGCAACGUGGUCGUGACGUGGACAAUAGAAUUAUAUGUCAUGACGUGGCAGUGGUUAUAGAGCGUAGUAGGGACCAGUCAAGGAGUGCAAACCCCCCGGAAACCGAGACAAAGUCCGCCCCGGCAAGUCGCGUAGACCCGUAGAUCGCGCAUUGGGGGCGGUAAAUCGUUCCAGCACCGGGAGGCCGCAAACCUGAACGAUCCACGAAAGGCAGCAGUUCUGUGCGCCGGCGUCUCGAAAACAUUAGUACAAGCACGCCUGGGGUACCCUCCAUGCACCUUAGUCCA